rnacentral:ncRNA from 21 species
CAAACCCCACGUGACUGGCGAUAGAAUCUUCGGAUAGGUGGGGCAACCCAUCAGGAAGCGCGGAGCGUCGUUUUCCCGUUUGCCUGGGCAGCUAGC